UGGAUAUUCUUGCUAAUCUUCUGGGGGAGGGGCCUGUUGUGGUGAUUCUCAAAUAUCUUUGCCCGAGGCAGAAUUGCGCUGCCUUUGCCAGGGGCCAGGUUAAGAAAUCUGCUCGAGUUUGCUCUUGGGAGUUUUUGUUCCCUGAACGCUUUCCGUAGAGCUCUGGAGCAGGGGAAUGAAAAUGGCACCUCCCAGUCUCCAGCCCGGAGGAGCCAAGAACUCGGCGCCUGACUCCUCAGUGCACCCUCAGAGAAAAGGGGUCAAUCACUCCCAUCUGCCUGGUCUCCAUCUGCACUCUGGGCUCACCCGGCAUAUGACUGAGCAUUUCUGUCUCUGGCACACAGCCCUAUUUGGAGUCUCCCAACCCAGCACAUUUCUGCCUCCAGAGGAAGAAGGAAAUAAGGAUACAGCGAGAGGGCACAACCUAUGAACCAGGAAGGAGACCCUUACCAGGCACUGAAUCUGCUGGCAUGAUAAUAACCUUGGACUUCUCAUCCCCAGAACUGUAAGAAAAAAUUUCUGUUGUUCAUAGUCUACCGGAGUAGACUAUGAUAUUUUGUUAUAGCAGCCAGAUUGGACUAACA
rnacentral:lncRNA from 1 species